rnacentral:lncRNA from 10 species
UGGAGCUGUUCCUGUUCGGCCAUCUUGGCUCCUACUCCUUAUUUUCGUAUUUUAUCUUUUGUGAAUAAUGCUGCAAUCAACAUUUCCAUGUCCUGUGAGAUUCACGCUCAAAGAGGUUCUGUUCUGAUGUGUUUCCAGGAUUUGUUUCAAGAUUUGGAGCUCCUUUUAGCAGUUAUUGUAGUGCUGGCUUGGUAGUGGCAAAUUCUCUGAGCAUUUGUUUGUCUGAAAAAGACUGUUAUCUUUCCUUUAUUUAUGAACUUUAGUUUUGCUGGAUACAAAAUUCUUGGCUGAUAAUUUUUUUUUUCUUUUUCUGAGAUGGAGUCUUUCCCUGUUGCCCAGGCUGGAGUGCAGUGGUGUGAUCUCGGCUCACUGCAACCUCCGCCUCCUGGAUUCACGCCAUUCUCCUGCCUCAGCCUCCUGAGUAGCUGGGAUUACAGGCGCCUGCCACCAGG